rnacentral:rRNA from 1 species
CCGCGANUAGCUNNUUACAAUAGCCGUUGUUUCUUGGAUCCUCAAUUUACUUGGAUACCUGUGGUAAUUCUAGAGCUAAUACAUGCGACUAAGGGCCGAACUCACGUGACGCUUGCAUUUAUUAGAUCAAGACUAACCGGCUUCGGCCGUUAACUUGGUGACUCUGAAUAACUCAGCUGAUCGCACGGUCUAGUGCCGGCGACAUAUCUUUCAAGUGUCUACCUUAUCAACUGUCGAUGGUAGUUUAUGUGACUACCAUGGUUGUAACGGGUAACGGAGAAUCAGGGUUUGACUCCGGAGAGGGAGCCUGAGAAACGGCUACCACUUCUAAGGAAGGCAGCAGGCGCGCAAAUUACACAAUCUCAGCACGAGGAUGUAGUGACGAAACAUACCGAGGCGAUGCCCUUUCGGGUGUCGUCAUUGGAAUGAGUCGAAUCUAAAAAAUUCGGCAAGGAUCUAGUGGAGGGCAAGUCUGGUGCCAGCAGCCGCGGUAAUUCCAGCUCCGCAAGUGUAUAUCUAUGCUGUUGCGGUUAAAAAGCUCGUAGUUUGAUUCGCGUACUUAGCACGCAGUGUGGCCUUUCGGCUACUACUGUGAUGCGGUACAUUAUCGUCAGUUUGUCGUUGAUGCUCUUCAUUGGGUGUCAGCGGCGGCUGUCAAGUUUACUUUGAACAAAUUAAAGUGCUCAAUACAGGCGUUUCGCUUGUAUAGUUCUGCAUGGAAUAAUAGAAUAGGACUUACGUUCUAUUGUGUUGGUUUUCAGAACGAAAGUAAUGAUUAAGAGGGACAGACGGGGUCAUUCGUACUGCCACGUUAGAGGUGAAAUUCUUGGAUCGUGGCAAGACGAACUACUGCGAAAGCAUUUGACAAGAAUGUUUUCAUUAAUCAAGAACGAAAGUUAUGGGU